CAGCAGCCACGGGAAUACGAAGGGUGCAAGCGUUAAUCGGAAUUACUGGGCGUAAAGCGCGCGUAGGUGGUUUGUUAAGUUGGAUGUGAAAUCCCCGGGCUCAACCUGGGAACUGCAUCCAAAACUGGCAAGCUAGAGUAUGGUAGAGGGUGGUGGAAUUUCCUGUGUAGCGGUGAAAUGCGUAGAUAUAGGAAGGAACACCAGUGGCGAAGGCGACCACCUGGACUGAUACUGACACUGAGGUACGAAAGCAUGGGGAGCAAACAGGAUUAGAUACCCCUGUAGUCCCUGUCUCUUAUAC
rnacentral:rRNA from 1 species